CCUACGGGAGGCAGCAGUGAGGAAUAUUGGUCAAUGGACGAGAGUCUGAACCAGCCAAGUAGCGUGAAGGAUGACUGCCCUAUGGGUUGUAAACUUCUUUUAUAUGGGAAUAAAUUGUUCUACGUGUGGGAUUUGCUAUGUACCAUAUGAAUAAGGCUCGGCUAACUCCGUGCCAGCAGCCGCGGUAAUACGGAGGUUCCGGGCGUUAUCCGGAUUUAUUGGGUUUAAAGGGAGCGUAGGUGGAUUGUUAAGUCCGUUGUGAAAGUUUGCGGCUCAACCGUAAAAUUGCAGUUGAAACUGGCAGUCUUGAGUACAGUAGAGGUGGGCGGAAUUCGUGGUGUAGCGGUGAAAUGCUUAGAUAUCACGAAGAACUCCGAUUGCGAAGGCAGCUCACUGGACUGCAACUGACACUGAGGCUCGAAAGUGUGGGGAUCAAACAGGAUUAGAUACCCUUGUAGUC
rnacentral:rRNA from 1 species